UUGAUAUCUUUUAUUCCAAAGUGUAAUCCUAAUAUCCGUUUUUUAAUAACACCACGAAACGAGCACACAAUCGCGCGUUGUUCGUAUCGAGAACAAAAGAGAGAGCACACGAAGAGUCAAAGUCCUUCUUUUUCGCGAGAGUGCGAAUCAACAAAGAAAACAAAGGAGGAGUAUGCGUUGUUGUUGUU
rnacentral:ribozyme from 14 species